rnacentral:lncRNA from 1 species
GCAGACCUCUACCAUUCGUAUAGCAGGAAAGUAUAUAAUUAAUGUUUAACUAAAAUAAAAAUAUAUUAUAACUAAAUACAUAAAUUUCUGCCAUUUCAUUUCAUCUUCAAGGAGUACAUCAAAGUGAUUCAAAGUGGUGUACCUAGUAUUGGAAUACAAAGAAGAGGAAGAUCAGUAGGAAGCAAUAGCAGCACACACAGCAACAACCAUUCAACAACACGAGAGUAGCCCAGUAAAAGCGGGAAUAUCAGCAAAACCCAGGAGAUUACAACCAAGCAGAAAAAUCAGGAAUUUCCAAGCCAACCGAAAACCAACAUUAAACCCAAGCAACACUACUUGAAUGCCAGUUGUAUUAGAAAACAAGUACAGACCAACAGAGAAAUAACCGGCUGCCAAAAUAGUCCCUUCUGAUUUUUAACACUCAAGAAAAGAAGCUUGAAGCUUCAAUGAACAAUAAGAAUUGAUGCUGAUUUUUAACAGUGAAGAAAAGAAACAGAUUUUUCCUCCUAGUACUGAAAAUAACUUUUCUCUCUAAAUUCAGUUCUCUCUAAUUGUUAAACGACUGUUAUUAUAUACCCCAAAUGCAAGACCCUUUCCUCUAUUCUUUUUAACUAUUAACUUUUACUUUUAAACUAUUCUUACUAACCCUUUUUCUCUUUUAUACUUAUUCACCCCCAAUAUUCUUCUACCAUCUAAUUAUUAUUACUACCUCUUUUAUUAUUACCCUACUAUAUCUAAUUCCCAAUCAACAAAAGCAGUCAAACGUGGACCUCACAAUCAACUCUCUUUUUACUUUAAUCAUUAUGCUUCCCAUAUGUCUUUUCCCCUCUUUUUACUUUACAUAAUAAUGUUCCCCACUAUAUUUUUAAACAAUUCUUUAAUUUUUAAUUCCAAAAUUAUCCCCUCAAACUGCUAAAAUUACCAUUAUACCCUCAUCUAUUUCAAUCUGCACCAAGAACGUAUCAGCCAUAACCAAUUUCCCUAAAUCAAUUAACCAAAAUAUAGCAGCUAAACCAAUUCUUAAUCAAAUUCAACCAACAACUUCAAACUAUAUGAUGAACAACAAGGAACCAACUAAAAAUUAUUUUGACUAAACAAAAAUUUUUAACAACAAACAUACUUUCAGAUUCAACAACAAUAACAAACAAGUAAAUUCAAAUCACCAAAUUAUUUUUACUACACAAAAUUUUUAACAACAAACAUACUUUCAGAUUUAACAGCAAUAACAAAUAAGUAAAUUUAAAUAUCUAAACUCAUAUUCAAAAUUAAACUUAACAAAUCAAACAAACAAAUUCAAAUUUCUAACUCAGAUCCAAAUUUAGAUUUAAACAAAAUAAUAAAAAAGACUAAACUCACUAAACUCAAUACUCAAUUAAACUUCAAAUUGAAUCUAAUAACAUCACAAUCACGAUAAAGGAUUCAAGUGAUUAAACUAAUACAUUUCUAUAUUAAAAUUAAAUAAGAGCAAAUGAAUAAAACAAAUUGAAGAAAUAACAAAUCAAGAAACUAAUCAAACAUAUAACGACUUCGGAUCCGGGAAUAUCAAACAAAAUACGGACAGAAAUGAAACUUAAACCAACUAACCGGUUCGAAACAACGACAAACUCGAAUGGAAUCACAACCCAAGGAACGGAAUACCACUGAAUGAGCUACCGAUCUAAAACGACCAUCAACGACUUCGAACAACAAACUGAAAUGACGACUUGAACAUACCUCGAUGAGUUUGAGGAUGGUGUUUUCCGGCUGGUUUUCUGUUGGACGUGGGUGACGACGGGGUUGUUUGGACGUUCGUUGUAGGACGAUGGUGGUUUGGGAGAUGGCUGCUGGUUUUAACAAGUGACGGGGACGACGAAAAGCUGGUCGUUUUCAGUGGGUGUGACGACUGGCACGUUAGGUUGAUAAGAGAAAGAUGAUGGGGAAGCUAUGACCGGGCUGUUUGGACGUGAAGGUGGCUGGCUGUGUUGUUUGUUUUUCGCUGAAGAUGGAAUAUGAAGAAGCGGGCAGCCAUGGUCGUUUUUGUUCAAGCUACCAUGAAGAUUAUCAUGAAAGCUAGGGUUCUAGGGCUUUGGGUUAGGUUUUGUGUCUAACAGGUUGAAGAAGCCUCCAUUUUUGGCUGUGGUGUUGGUGUUCAGGUGGCUAUGGCAGUAUUUUAGGUCGUUGGAUGGGAGGGUAUGUUUGGAGAAGACUAAGAGAGGAGGGGGUGGGUAAGGGGUGUGACGGCUAUAGAGUUUAGGGUGUGUUUAGG